GAUGAACGCUGGCGGCGUGCAUAACACAUUCAAGUCGAACGGAGCUUAUUGGAUUAAUCCUUCGGGAAGCGUUUAGUAAGCUUAGUGGCGGACGGGUGAGUAACGCGUGAGCAACCUGCCUUUGAUUGGGGGAUAACACAGGGAAACUUGUGCUAAUACCGCAUAAAGUAUACGUUUCGCAUGUGAUGUAUACCAAAGAUUUAUGAUCAAAGAUGGGCUCGCGUCCGAUUAGAUAGUUGGUGGGUAACGGCUACCAAGUCAACGAUCGGUAGCCGGACUGAGAGGUUGAACGGCCACAUUGGGACUGAGACACGGCCCAGACUCCUACGGGAGGCAGCAGUGGGGGAUAUUGCACAAUGGGGGAAACCCUGAUGCAGCAACGCCGCGUUGAAGGAAGAAGGUCUUCGGAUUGUAAACUUCUUUUUACCAGGGACGAACAUAAUGACGGUACCUGGAGAAAAAGCAAACGGCUAACUACGUGCCAGCAGCCNCGGU
rnacentral:rRNA from 1 species